ensembl:lncRNA novel transcript, sense intronic to CCPG1
UCAGACAACUCAAUCUUUGUGUAAAUACUUGGUAAAGCAACAGGACACAGAAGAGGAAUGCUGGAAAAAUCUGGUUUAUGAAAACAGAAAUCAAACCAAGUUACUAACCAACCUCCCCGUCCCCUCCAGGCACACAAAAACAUUUGCCUUUGUACUCUGCCAAUGCUUGAUUUAAUUAUAAUACACACUCAAGUGGCUGUAAAAAAACCCAACAGAACAGAAACCAUUUAACAUCUGAAUAGUGAUUUAUGAACAGAUUUCCUCUGACAAAUGGGGCCAGCUAUUCUUAAGGCUUGCCAAAUAGCUGUUAGAUGUCUAAAUUUUUGUAUGUGCCUGCGUUUGUAUGUGGUUACACUGUAAAGUAAUGACAGACUGAGGCUUUGAUUUCAGAACUUCAGAUGUAUCAAAAAUACAGAUUUUUAAUAUUUGAUUUUA